CCUACGGGAGGCAGCAGUAGGGAAUAUUGCUCAAUGGGGGAAACCCUGAAGCAGCAACGCCGCGUGGAGGAUGACGGUCCUCGGAGUUUAAACUCCUUUUUUUAGAGAAGAUAAUGACGGUAUCUAACGAAUAAGCACCGGCUAACUCCGUGACAGCAGCCGCGGUAAUACGGAGGGUGCAAGCGUUACUCGGAAUCACUGGGCGUAAAGAGCGCGUAGGCGGGAUAGCAAGUCAGAUGUGAAAUCCUAUGGCUUAACCAUAGAACUGCAGUUGAAACUGUUAUUCUAGAGUAUGGGAGAGGUAGGUGGAAUUCUUGGUGUAGGGGUAAAAUGCGUAGAGAUCAAGAAGAAUACUGAUUGCGAAGGCGACCUGCUAGAACAUAACUGACGCUGAUGCGCGAAAGCGUGGGGAGCAAACAGGAUUAGAUACCCGGGUAGUC
rnacentral:rRNA from 1 species